AACGAACGCUGGCGGCAGGCCUAACACAUGCAAGUCGAACGAGACCUUCGGGUCUUGUCGCGCACGGGUGUGUAACGCGGGGGAAUCUGCCUUUCUACUCGGAAUAACUCGCCGAAUGGGGUUCAAAUACCGUAUAAUGUCUUCGGACCAAAGAUUUAUCGCCUGUGGAUGGGCCCGCGUUGGAUUAGCUAGUUGGUAGGGUAAAAGCCUACCAAGGCGACGAUCCAUAGCUGGUCUGAGAGGAUGAUCAGCCACACUGGGACUGAGACACGGCCCAGACUCCUACGGGAGGCAGCAGUGGGGAAUAUUGGACAAUGGGCGCAAGCCUGAUCCAGCCAUGCCGCGUGAGUGAUGAAGGCCUUAGGGUUGUAAAGCUCUUUUACCCGGGAUGAUAAUGACAGUACCGGGAGAAUAAGCCCCGGCUAACUUCGUG
rnacentral:rRNA from 1 species